GACGAACGCUGGCGGCGUGCUUAACACAUGCAAGUCGAACGGUGAAGCGCCUUCCUUUUUGGUGGGUGUGGAUGAGUGGCGAACGGGUGAGUAACACGUGAGUAACCUGCCCCCUUCUUCUGGAUAACCGCAUGAAAGUGUGGCUAAUACGGGAUAUUCUGGGUCUGUCGCAUGAUGGGUCUGGGAAAGAUAUUGUUUCGGUGGGGGAUGGGCUCGCGGCCUAUCAGCUUGUUGGUGGGGUGAUGGCCUACCAAGGCGGUGACGGGUAGCCGGCCUGAGAGGGUGGACGGUCACACUGGGACGGAGACACGGGCCAGAAUCCUACGGGAGGCAGAAGUGGGGAAUAUUGCACAAUGGGCGCAAGCCUGAUGCAGCGACGCCGCGGGAGGGAUGGAGGCCUUCGGGUUGUGAACCUCUUUCGACAGUGAAGCAGGCCUGCCUCGUUUGUGGGUGGGUUGACGGUAGCUGGAUAAGAAGCGCCGGCUAACUACGUG
rnacentral:rRNA from 1 species